GGAGUGGUAGUUGCGUUGGUUAGAAUACCUUCCUGUCACGCAGGGGGUUGCGUGUACGAGUCCCGUCCGGUCCG
rnacentral:tRNA from 1 species